AUGUAUUCAAUUAAUACGCUGCUUCUAGUUAAAACAGUUCAUAUCUAUUUCCAGAUAUUUUGUCUUCAAAAAUACAAAUACACUAUAAAUACUUUUAAUAUAAUACUUUUAUGUGUUUUCAAGCUAAAGUUACAUAAAUGGUCUACAAAUAUUCCAGUCCAAGAUGGUAAAAGUCCCUUGUUGUUUAAUAAUCGGUUUUAUGGGUCAAGCUUAUUUUCACUGGCAACCCUGAGAUGCUGAGAUGACCUGCUCACUGCACACAACCUUAUUUCAGCAUUGGAAAAUCCUAACAAUAAUUAGAAUGCUCUAUUUUUUUUAUAUAGUGAAGCUCAGAAAUUUUGUUAGGAAAAAAAUGUGCAGUGAAAACCUUGGAAAUAAGACAUGUAUGUUGAUGUUCAAAAUGUAGUAAAUGUACACCUUUUCCUCAUGUAGACCUGGCAUCAACCAGAAACAUUCAUAAGACUAUAAUCAAUACAGCAAUGACAAGGUUGAUCAUUUUACAGCAUUAAUUAUUGGCCAUAUCAACCGAUGGCCCAGAAGUGGCAAGAGUCAUCAGUUUUUCAAUAUACAUCUCUUGAUUUCGCAAACCUUAUAUUACGUAAAGAUGUUUGCACAAGAAAAUGUGUUAAUAUGGCAGCUGCUGCUCAUAAGUCAAAUAACGUGCGCUUGAAUGAUCAUAACAACGCUUUUGCAGUAAUUCUCACUUAUCAAUAAGUGAAAGACAACAGAUGUAUUAGAAAUAUCCAACAGGAGGUUCGGCUACUUUAAGGCUCUGAAAGUCAUGCUUAAAUGUUUAACUUUAAAGGGAUAGUUAAGCCAAAAAUCUGAUUUAGAAAAAAGCAAAUAAUAAAAAAAAGUAAUAGAUUAUAUUUUGAAGGAUGUUGGCAUCCAAACAGUCUUGGUAUCCAUUGACUUUCAUUGUAUGAAAAAAGAAAAAAAAAUUCUUAAAUAGUUUAACUUUAAAGGGAUAGUUAAAGCCAAAAAUACUGAUUUAGAAAAAAGACAAAUAUAAAAAAAAGUAAUAGAUUAUAUUUUGAAGGAUGUUGGCAUCCAAACAGUCUUGGUAUCCAUUGACUUUCAAUUGUAUGAAAAAGAAAAAAAAAAUUACUCAAAAAUGUUGCUGUAAGGUGAUUAAACAAUGACAGAAUCAUAUUUUUUGGGUGAACUAUCUCUUUCAGUAGUAUGCUUGAUAUGCUGCAUUCAAAGCAAAAUAUUAAAUUUAGCAUAUGCCUUUAACACCUCUCUUCUGAUCUCUGACAAUUUGAAUGCUAACUAGCACUACAGAUACACAUGCCUCCUUUAAUCAGCCAUAAACAGAUGAGAGCAGAAUCAUUAGCACAGCAUUAGAAUAAUAAUCUGAUUCUGGCAACAGGUAAGUGCUUUCAGCACUACACAUCAAGGCUUCAGAUGACAGAUAUGGUUCUCAACUGCUUCAGGAUAUCAUUAACAUGAGCCACUGGCAUCUAACAUUAAUUCUGUAAUCAUUUAAUUCCUAGCAUGUUGUUUCAAAUCAUAUGACUUUCUUUUGUUGAAGACUUCUUUUAAGUAUGCUUUCUUCCAUACAAUGAAAGUGAAUGGGAACCAACAACAAGACAAAUUUUUUUGUUCAAAGCCGUCUUCAUAAGCCUUCACUAGAUUUUUUUGAGAGUAAUAAAUUAAAAUUUAAACUGAUAUUCACUGAAAAUCUUGCCUAACAGACAUGGUCACCAUUCACUUUCAUUGUAUGAAAAUCCUUUUGUUUUCCACAAUAAAUACAACAAAUAAACUCAUUUUAGCUACGAAAGCCAUGAGUAAAUAAUGACAGAAUGUUCAUUCUUUGGGCAACUGUCUCUUUAAAUCUGCAAUUGUGGUGCCAGAAGAGCAUCUAAUCCUAUAGGCUCAAAGACCCACCAUAAUCACUGUUUGUCUUAGAUGAUCUGUACCAUAAUCACUGUUUGUCUUAGAUGAUCUGUUGAUCCACCUGUGUGGUUUCUCUCUCUCUCUCUCACACACACACACUCACUCACAAACACACACACACACACACAGUCUGCAAAAAUGAUCGUAUGAGGCUUGUCCCAUCUGAGCCUGUUGGGCUCUAACUGAGCGGAGAUGUUUGGGUGUCCAACUUAUUUCAGAACAUACAGUAUGGUGCUGGAGGACACUGUGUUGUCUUGGCGACAGACUAUCGAUGGACUCAUCUGGUGCUUAGCAACAGAGGCCAUAUAAACACCUGGUCGAUGGCACACCUGGGUCGGCAGAAUUGAAGUCUUUGAAUUCAUAUAUAUAUAUAUAUAUAUAUAUAUAUAUAUAAUAAUUCUCAAGCACAGGAGACACAACUACGGUGCAAAACAUGUGAGAAAUAAUCUUUGAAAGAGUGUAGGUGGUUUUUAUAAUUAUAUUUGGGGUAAAGGGUUUUAAAACUCGAAGUACCUUCCACUUAUUCCACUUAUUCCACAAUUAUAAUGUGUUGCUGGGUAACACAUAAAUGAAGUUAGUGUUUUAAUGUUCUAUCAUACAUGCGUUCAUAUUAAUCUUUCCCUCCGUUACAUGUGCCAGUUCCACUUACGACUUCAGACAGCCUGAAUAUAACCUUCACAUCCAGUGUGUCCUUUCUGAGUAGUGUUUUUAAAGAACGAAAAUCAGAGUGUGCGUCGAAAACACGUCAACAGCAUACCUUGAAUACUCUUGCUCACACAUCUAUUAUCACGCUGAUGUAUCCGUCUUGUCAGCUUCCAGUGAUUCUUUUAGGUUUCCAACCUGUCUGUUACAGGACAGCACAGUGCAGUCACUCUCUGCUUAGUCCAAGACCUUUCCUUUGAUGCAACCCUUCCCCCACGUUCAGUCAGCGGGUUGCCUGCUGCACCUCUUUUACUGUGGCUGUAGAAAUAGUGGCCCUAUUCCUGAUCCACUGGAGGCAUGAGACACCCCAGCAUGCCCCCAAGAGCGGACAGCCCUCUGGGCCGUGGUCCUGACAGGCUCCAGGGUGUCCUGCAU
rnacentral:lncRNA from 1 species